rnacentral:rRNA from 1 species
CAGCCGCCGCGGGAAUACGUAGGUCCCGAGCGUUGUCCGGAUUUAUUGGGCGUAAAGCGAGCGCAGGCGGUUUGAUAAGUCUGAAGUUAAAGGCUGUGGCUCAACCAUAGUUCGCUUUGGAAACUGUCAAACUUGAGUGCAGAAGGGGAGAGUGGAAUUCCAUGUGUAGCGGUGAAAUGCGUAGAUAUAUGGAGGAACACCGGUGGCGAAAGCGGCUCUCUGGUCUGUCACUGACGCUGAGGCUCGAAAGCGUGGGUAGCGAACAGGAUUAGAUACCCGCGUAGUCCCUGUCUCUUAUACA